CGUGUAGGCUGAUAUUUAAGUCAAUUGUGAAAUCCCUGGGCUUAACCUAGGAAUUGCAGUUGAUACUGAAUGUCUAGAGUAUGGUAGAGGAAAGUGGAAUUCUCGGUGUAGUGGUUAAAUACGUAGAUAUCGAGAAGAACACCGGUGGCGAAGGCGGCUUUCUGGACCAAUACUGACGCUGAGGCGCGAAAGCGUGGGGAGCAAACAGGAUUAGAUACCCUGGUAGUCCACGCUGUAAACGAUGAGAACUAGAUGUUGGGUAGCACUUUGUGCCGCGCAGUAUCGUGGCUAACGCGCUAAGUUCUCCGCCUGGGGAGUACGGUCGCAAGAUUAAA
rnacentral:rRNA from 1 species